UCCAAAUUUAUAAGAGGGGCCACUUCUGA
rnacentral:piRNA from 1 species